AAUGAACGCUGGUGGCAGACCUAACACAUGCAAGUCGAACGGUCUAUAUUAAACUUCGGUUUUUUAUAGAUAGUGGCAAACGGGUGAGUAAAGCAUGGGAAUCUACCUAGAAGUUGGUAAUAGCUAUUAGAAAUAGAUAGAUAAUACCAAAUAACACCUCGAGAGGGAAAGGUUAGACUUCGGUCUUCGUCUUUAGUAUGAGCCCACUGUUAAAUUAAGUUAGUUGGUAGGGUAAGUGGCCUACCAAGAUGAUGAUUUAUUAGCUGGUCUUAGGUGAUCAGCCACACUGGAAUUGAGAUACGGUCCAGACUCCUACGGGAGGGCAGCAGUGGGGAAGUAAUUGGACGAAGGGCGGCAAGCCUGAUCCAGUCAUGCCACGUGAGUGAUGAAGGUCUUAGGAUUGU
rnacentral:rRNA from 1 species